rnacentral:misc_RNA from 1 species
UUUUGAUGCAAAAGAAACAUAUAUAUAUAUCUCUUGCUAAAAUUUUACAUUUCCUUUUUUUACAUUUCUGGAAGGUUACUUUGGUUAACUGAAAACAAAGACAUGAGAAUGAACAAGGAGUGACAAGUUGCAACCUUGCUCUAUACAAGAACUUACAGAAAGCAGAAACUAACUAGUCUACUCAGAUGCAGGGAUAAACUGGCCCUUUCUGAAGGCUGAGCAUACAUCAAUUUGGAUUAACAUUCUUGGCUCCUGGAACCGUUUCCUCCACAGUUUUCAACAAGCUUAAAUCCUUCUUGGGUGCCUCAGUUUCCAUCUCAAAUCCUAUAAUACCAAAACAACCAUUAAGUCCAUUUUCAACGAGAGAUGCUGAUGCAUCGGACUAGUAGUCUGCAAAUUCUCAACAUUGAUAUCAUGAUUACUGCAGUUAUCAUACUAUAAUGAUAACAAUACCCCUUAUCAUUUUGUAACAGCCUCAAGAUUUAUACAAAAGAUUGAACCAUACCAUUUCGUUUCAUCCCAUUGGAAGGAGAUGACCUGUUCUCUAAUUCAGCGUCAUAAGAUUCCACAAACUCCUGAAAUUGAACUUCCAAGCUAGAGAAAUCUUCACCAGCAUCAAAAUCAAAUGUAUCUGGCAGCAAAUCAGCCACAUCAUUGCCAUCAAAGCCAUCAUCCUCAGUAUUGUCAUAAAAGCCUUCCUCAUCCUGAUGUUGACUAAGCCAAUAAUCACGGUACCAUGUUGAAGUGGUAACUAGUUGCCACCAUUCUGGGGAGAAAUCCUCCACUCGACGAUAAGCAGCAGGAAUAAAGAGAGGGGCAUCAGGGUUUAAUGUUGACCUUCCUCCUGAAACUAGUGCCAUCUGUCUCAAACGAGUCUUGUUUUACCUUUUUAAUCUGCGACCAAAAUAACUGCAUAAGAAACAAUUACAUUGUAUUUCAUUUUCCAUAAUUAAGCUUCAACAAAAUCUUGAUUCUAUUCCUUCACAAACCGACCUUUUUCUCUAACAUUUAUAUCACAAAGAUUUACCAAGUACAUCAUCCUUUUAUUCCCAAAUAUAGCACAUUUAAUUCUGCUAGCACACUAUAGAAGGCUAUUGUUUACACAUUCUACAACAUCACAACAGACAAACAAAUGAUAAGCUUAGAAAAAAUUUUAGCCAAAAUAAGACCCAGAUCAAAGGAUGAAUUAAAGGCUAAGAUCCAUUGAGUUUAAAGAAUUUUCUUAAUCCAUCACAGACCCAAAUAAAGCAUUAAGCAAAUAAUCAUUUCCAAAAUUACAAAGAUCAAUCUAUACAAUUCCAAAACUAGAAAACAAAACAAUGUCAAAAAAAAAAACAGCUCUUAAUUAUUAUCAAUCCAUUAUAGGCAUUCUUUCCAAGACUUUCUAUAUGAUCAAGUUACAUCAAAGCAAAAUCGUCCGAUCAUCGAAAAAUUCCAGCUAAAUUAAAUUGCUAACCAUGAUCUACACAGCCAUAUCAAUAAUCAAACUAGAGUUCCAUCAAAUCGCAUAAAGCAAAGUUCUAAUCGCAACAAAACACACCACAAUCUGAAACAAGAAAAAAGGAACAUCAUCGCACAAUAAGAUCUCAUUUAGCUACCAGAUCACAAAUAUAAACCGAUCAAGAUGGUCAAGCUCCGUUCGAUCACGUCUUCUUUCAACUCCAUUGCAUUAACAGAGCUUAAUUCUACACUUCUCAACAAAACAACCUUUGAGACAUUCUACUUCAUUUUCCGUUCAUUUCUCUUCAUCUUUCGCAGCAACCAAACAACAACAAAACGAAUUUCAAAGAAAUCGAUUGAAAUUCAACAGACACACAGAUCUAAACGACCAAACACCAAAAACCAGAAUCGCUAAACAACAUCGUCACAUAACAAAGAAGGAUCAGAUUUGAAUUUGAUACCUUUAGCGAAGAAAAUAUCUGAGUAAACGUUGGUUAGGACAAUUCAGCGUGCGAUACGCACGGGAUUGAGCAGGGAAAGUAUUUAUAGGGGCG